ensembl:lncRNA
CGGGGAGACCCUGGGCAGAGUUCCCGUCUGUGGCGUGUCUGGACUUUCGUGUGGGGAGUGUGAGGGACUUGGGGCUAGCUCUGAGUGGAGCCGACUUAGGUCAGAAGAGAGACGAAUCCUAGGCUCUGCCAGGCUUCGAGAGAGGUGAGGACCUUGGUCUGAGGAGGUGACACAUCAAUUCAGAAGAGGGAGGAGUCCCGGGCUCUGUCAGGAAUCAAGGGAGGUGAAGGGCUUGGUCUGAGCUGGUGACAUCAACAGAGGGAGGAAUCCCAGGAUCUGUGACAAGUCAAGGGACUUGGAGCUGAGGUCUUUAGUCUAAGUGUGAAGGCAGGUCAGCUGAGAAUCCACAUCACGUCAGAAGAGGAAGGAGUCCCAAGCUCUACCAGGAGUCAAGGCCUGUGGUACCCCACCUCCCAUUGUCUUACUCAUACUUCUUGC